rnacentral:rRNA from 1 species
UGGGAAUCUUAGGCAAUGGGCGAAAGCCUGACCUAGCGACGCCGCGUGAGGGAAGAAGGCCUUCGGGUCGUAAACCUCUGUCAUGGGGGACGAAGGAAGUGACGGUACCCCAAGAGGAAGCCCCUGCUAACUACGUGCCAGCAGCCGCGGUAAUACGUAGGGGGCGAGCGUUAUCCGGAAUUAUUGGGCGUAAAGGGCGAGUAGGCGGUCUGUUAAGUCAGGUGUGAAAUUUCAGGGCUCAACCCUGAAACUGCGCUUGAAACUGGCAGGCUAGAGGACAGGAGAGGGAAGUGGAAUUCCCGGUGUAGCGGUGGAAUGCGUAGAUAUCGGGAGGAACACCAGUGGCGAAGGCGGCUUCCUGGACUGUACCUGACGCUGAGGAGCGAAAGCUGGGGGAGCAAAC